rnacentral:rRNA from 1 species
AGAGUUUGAUCCUGGCUCAGGAUGAACGCUAGCGGGAGGCCUAAUACAUGCAAGUCGAGCGGUAGAAAGACUUCGGUUUUUUGAGAGCGGCGUACGGGUGAGUAACGCGUACACAAUCUACCUUCAAGAGGGGAAUAGCCCUGGGAAACUGGGAUUAAUGCCCCAUAGCAUUAUUGACUGGCAUCGGUUAAUAAUUAAAGCUGAGGUGCUUGGAGAUGAGUGUGCGUCUGAUUAGCUAGUUGGUGAGGUAACGGCCCACCAAGGCUACGAUCAGUAGGGGGCGUGAGAGCGUGGACCCCCACACGGGUACUGAGACACGGACCCGACUCCUACGGGAGGCAGCAGUAAGGAAUAUUGGUCAAUGGAGGAAACUCUGAACCAGCCAUCCCGCGUGUAGGAAGAAGGCCCUCUGGGUUGUAAACUACUUUUAUCUGGGAAGAAAAGCCAUUAUUUAUGAUGGUCUGACGGUACCAGAGGAAUAAGCACCGGCUAACUCCGUGCCAGCAGCCGCGGUAAUACGGAGGGUGCAAGCGUUAUCCGGAAUUACUGGGUUUAAAGGGUGCGUAGGCGGCGCUGUAAGUCAGGGGUGAAAGGUUCCGGCUCAACCGGAGAAUUGCCUUUGAUACUGCAGUGCUAGGAUUGGGUUGAGGUUGGCGGAAUGUGACAUGUAGCGGUGAAAUGCAUAGAUAUGUCAUAGAACACCGAUUGCGAAGGCAGCCAACUGGACCUUGAUUGACGCUGAGGCACGAAAGCGUGGGGAGCAAACAGGAUUAGAUACCCUGGUAGUCCACGCCCUAAACGAUGCUAACUCGAUGUGUGGCCCUAGAGGUUGCGCGUCCAAGCGAAAGCGAUAAGUAGCCCCCUGGA